AGCAGCCGCGGUAAUUCCAGCUCCAAUAGCGUAUAUUAAAGUUGUUGCAGUUAAAAAGCUCGUAGUUGAAUUUCGGGGUUAGUAGGUUGGUCAUGCCUCUGGUAUGUACUGGUCUCACUGAUUCCUCCUUCCUGAUGAGCCGUAAUGCCAUUAAUUUGGUGUUGCGGGAAUUUGGACUGUUACUUUAGAAAAAUUAGAGUGUUUAAAGCAAGCUAACGCUUGAAUACAUUAGCAUGGAAUAAUGAAAUAGGACGUUCGAUCCUAUUUUGUUGGUUUCUAGGAUUGACGUAAUGAUUAAUAGGGAUAGUUGGGGGCAUUAGUAUUUAAUUGUCUAGAGGUGAAAUUCUUGGAUUUAUUGAAGACUAACUACUGCGAAAGCAUUUGCCAAGGAUGUUUCAUUAAUCAAGAACGAAAGUUAGGGGAUCGAAGACGAUCAGAUACCGUCGUAGUCUUAACCAUAAACUAUGCCGACUAGGGAUCGGAUGAUGUUAAUUUUUUAAUGUACUCA
rnacentral:rRNA from 1 species